rnacentral:piRNA from 1 species
UCGGAUCCUGAGAACCGCCUCGGCAGUUU